AUGGAUUCUGAGACACGAAUCCAGACCCUACGGGGUGCAGCAGGCGCGAAAACUUGGCAAUGCGAGAAAUCGUGACCAGGGAACUCCAAGUGCAUCGGGUAAGACCGGUGCUUUUCUUGACUCUAAAUAGGUCUUGGAAUAAGGGGUGGGUAAGGACGGUGCCAGCCGCCGCGGUAAUACCGGCGCCUCAAGUGGUAGUCGCUUUUAUUGGGCCUAAAACGUCCGUAGCCGGUCUGAUACAUUCGUGGGUAAAUCAACCAGCUUAACUGGUUGAAUUCUGCGAGGACGGUCAGACUUGGGACCGGGAGAGGUGUGGGGUACGCUCAGGGUAGGGGUAAAAUCCUGUCAUCCUGAGCGGACCACCUGUUGCGAAGGCGCCACACUAGAACGGAUCCGACGGUCAGGGACGAAGCCUAGGGGCACGAACCGGAUUAGAUACCCGGGUAGUCCUAGGUGUAAACGCUGUGGACUUGAUGUUGGGGGUGCUCCGAGCACUCUCAGUGUCGAAGCGAAGGUGAUAAGUCCACUGCCUGGGAAGUACGGUCGCAAGGCUGAAACUUAAAGGAAUUGGCGGGGGAGCACCGCAACCUGAGGAUUGUGCGGUUUAAUUGGAUUCAACGCCGGAAAACUCACCAUAGCCGACGGACAAAUGAAGGUCAGUGUAAUGAACUUACCGGAUUGUUCGAGAGGUAGUGCAUGGCCGCCGUCAGUUCGUACCGCAAGGCGUUCUGUUAAGUCAGAUAACGAACGAGACCCUCAUCUCUAUUUGCUAACUGGAUCUCCGGAUCCAGUGCACUAUAGGGAGACCGCUGGCGCUAAGUCAGAGGAAGGGGAGGGCAACGGUAGGUCAGUAUGCUCCGAAUGCUAUGGGCUACACGCGCAAUACAAAGGACAGGACAAUGGGCUGCUGCUCCGAAAGGAAUGAUAGCUAUCCCGAAACCUGUUCGUAGUUCGGAUUGAGGGCUGUAACUCGCCCUCAUGAAGCUGGAUUAGGUAGUAAUCGCGUCUCAAAAAGGCGCGGUGAAUAUGCCCCUGCUCCUUGCACACACCGCCCGUCAAACCAUCUUAGUUGUGGGUGGGUGAGGCUACCUCUCUAUGGGGUAUUCGAGCCUGCCUUCGACGAGGAGGGUUAAGUCGUAACAAGGUAUCUGUAGGGGAACCUGCAGAUG
rnacentral:rRNA from 1 species